GGCAAAAGUUGUGUUUACAAGGCAGCUGUAUAGGUUCCACGAAUACAUGCAAACAGAUGGGACAAAUAAGUUCCUCCUCGAAGCAGUUUUUCCAGUUCUCCGCCAUGAUGGCGGAUUCAGUGGAUCAUGGUAACUCUGCUGGCUUCUACUUCUCUCUUCUUGAAGCCACGCAUUCCCUCCAUCAGUCUCACAUUUCCUCGUGAAGGUCUGAGUCACACAGACUAAUUAAGACCUCAGCAUGGCUGGUAUUCUUGGGCUGACGGGACAAGCUGAGACGACGUAGACCACGUGUUUGACAGGAGCCACCCAGCACUGAAGAGAAAAGAUGUCAGAACAUCCACCUAUUUUCUGCAUUUCCUCACAGUGGAUUGUGCUAUGUUCAAUCAUGUCACCACAAUGAAACAAUUGUUUUAUUUUUAUUUUAUGUAAAUAAUGCACUUUAGGAUUACAAACAGUUGUUUUGACAUAAAAACAGUAGGCCUAUA